CCAAUAGCGUAUAUUAAAGUUGUUGCAGUUAAAAAGCUCGUAGUUGAACUUCAGGCCUGUCCAGAUGGUCCGCCUUAAUUGGUGUGUACUGUCCUUGGGUGGGUCCUACCUUCUGGCGAAGCGGCAUGGCCUUAAUUGGUUGUGUUGGGGAACCAGGACUUUUACUGUGAAAAAAUUAGAGUGUUCAAAGCAGGCAUAUAUGCUCGAAUACAUUAGCAUGGAAUAAUGGAAUAGGACGAUGGUUCUAUUUUGUUGGUUCUAGGACCGUUGUAAUGAUUAAUAGGGAUAGUUGGGGGCAUUAGUAUUCAAUUGUCAGAGGUGAAAUUCUUGGAUUUAUUGAAGACUAACUACUGCGAAAGCAUUUGCCAAGGAUGUUUUCAUUAAUCAAGAACGAAAGUUAGGGGAUCGAAGACGAUCAGAUACCGUCGUAGUCUUAACCAUAAACUAUGCCGACUAGGAAUCGGGCGAUGUUGACAAAAUGACUCGCUCGGCACCUCAUG
rnacentral:rRNA from 1 species